GGAUUAGAUACCCUGGUAGUCCACGCCGUAAACGAUGUCUAUUAGCCGUUGGGAAUCUUGUAUUCUUAGUGGCGCAGCUAACGCGAUAAAUAGACCGCCUGGGGAGUACGGCCGCAAGGUUAAAACUCAAAUGAAUUGACGGGGGCCCGCACAAGCGGUGGAGCAUGUGGUUUAAUUCGAUGCAACGCGAAGAACCUUACCAGGUCUUGACAUCCUGAGAACUUUCUAGAGAUAGAUUGGUGCCUUCGGGAACUCAGUGACAGGUGCUGCAUGGCUGUCGUCAGCUCGUGCCG
rnacentral:rRNA from 1 species